AUGAUGAAAGGAGAAGGGAAAGGCUGCGGCUGGCCUUCAUUUCCUGCUCCUGCUAUCUGGGGAUUCAGAGAAUGAUCCCAGGACCCAGAUCUUGAAGAUUCCAACAGCUCUUCCUGCAAACACAAGCCCUUGUGCGCCUGAGCCUUGCUCUCCAGCCUGGAGACAUCCAUCUGCCCACUCUGCUAGGAACUGCUGAGUGUCAGGAAGCACCAUCGGCUCUGCUGUCCUCCUCCUGGCAAAGAGGCACAAUGACCACAUUAUUUCUCUUCCAGCUUCACAUUACAGCAUGGAAGCUGUCGCCAAGUUUGAUUUCACUGCCUCAGGUGAGGAUGAACUGAGCUUUCACACUGGAGAUAUUUUGAAGAUUUUAAGUAACCAAGAGGAGUGGUUUAAGGCGGAGCUUGGGAGCCAGGAAGGAUAUGUGCCCAAGAAUUUCAUAGACAUCCAGUUUCCCGAAUGGUUUCACGAAGGCCUCUCUCGACACCAGGCAGAGAACUUACUCAUGGGCAAGGAGGUUGGUUUCUUCAUCAUCCGGGCCAGCCAGAGCUCCCCGGGGGACUUCUCCAUCUCUGUCAGGCAUGAGGAUGACGUUCAACACUUCAAGGUCAUGCGAGACAACAAGGGCAAUUACUUCCUAUGGACUGAGAAGUUCCCCUCCCUAAAUAAGCUGGUGGACUACUACAGGACAACCUCUAUCUCUAAACAGAAGCAGAUCUUCCUCAGAGACAGAACCCGAGAAGACCAGGGUCACCGGGGCAACAGCCUGGACCGGAGGUCCCAGGGAGGCCCACACCUCAGUGGGGCUGUGGGAGAAGAAAUCCGGCCUUCGAUGAACCGGAAGGUGUCGGAUCACCCCCCGACCCUUCCCCUGCAGCAGCACCAGCCACAGCCUCCACAGUACGCCCCAGCGCCACAGCCGCCACAGCAGCGGUAUCUGCAGCACCACCAUUUCCACCAGGAACGCCGAGGAGGCAGCCUUGACAUAAAUGACGGGCACUGUGGUGCUGGCCUGGGCAGUGAAAUGAAUAUGGCCCUCAUGCAUCGGAGACACACAGACCCAGUGCAGCUCCAGGCAGCAGGGCGAGUGCGGUGGGCCCGGGCACUGUACGACUUUGAGGCGCUGGAGGAUGAUGAGCUGGGAUUCCACAGUGGGGAGGUGGUGGAGGUCCUGGACAGCUCCAACCCAUCCUGGUGGACUGGCCGCCUCCACAACAAACUGGGCCUCUUCCCUGCCAACUACGUGGCACCCAUGACCCGAUGAACUCUUCGGGGGACAGAAGCUUUUUGUCUGACGCUGCCCACAAGAGAGAGGGCAAGUAAAAAAGGCUGGACUCCAUGACUGUAUAUACAUAUCUCUCUCUGCGUCUCUCGGUGUACACACACAACUUUUUAUACUGGUUAUUUAUUGGCAAUUGGGCUGGUAAUUAGUUAAUGCAAAAGGGAACUCAGGUGGAGAAUAAUAUUCACACUUGCUUUUCUGCUCCCCUCAGGGGUAUGUGGAAGGCAGCCGGGGGAGUUAGGGGGUGGGGCAGGGAAACGAAAAGGAGCUUUGUCCUGGCCUGAGCUGUCACUGCUUCCUCCUUGUCUUGGGAAUUUUCACUGAGAACAGCUAAGCAAAGACCACACCUCGGCACUGGAUGCAGAGCAAUAGGGUGGAGUUGAACUUGGUGGGGCACGUCCCAGCUCACCUGCAAGUCCCGCUUACCUGGAGGGUUUGCAGGCAGCUCUCCUCAUGUCCUCCAAGGGGUGGGCACUGCUGCAUUAGGAAUUAAGGUGCAGCUUUGUGCCGCGGGCAGCAGCAAGUCUGGGCGGGGAUGUGGAAGCAGGGCUGGGUUGGAGAGACCCUGCCUGUGCGAGGCUAGCCUCCUAGUCACCUGCUAGCUGAGACUUUUAUCUCUGUUCAAAUUAAUGUUCCUUGGGCCUUUCAAAUGAAUGUUCAAUGUGAGACGCCAAGUACUGGGAAGUCAAGAGAUUUUUCUAAGGUCCCCAAGCAACUUACUCAAUGUAACUGUUUCCCCAGCUAUGAAGGAAAUAGCACCCUAGAUUCCGUAAAGUGCUUGGAGAAGCUCUGGCUGAGAAUGCUGCAUUUUAGAGUCAUUGUUUUAUGGUGACAAGGGUGUAUCUUCAGGGCUCUGUUCAUUUUCCGUCGGGAUUUUCUGUUUCGAAGAUGCCCUGCCCAGUGGCAUGGGAAAGCAGCUCACUUGAUAAGAGCAUUGACUGUCAACUGAUUGACUAAGCUUGACCCCAGGUGGAAGCUGGCUUUGACAUGAGUUUCCUGCUCGGUCUGAUCAUUGCCGUCCUCCCGCCACCCAAGUGUUGCACUUGGAGCAAGGAGCUCCACCAUGGCUGUCCCUCACCACCACCUCACACUAGAAUCAUGUGUCCCAGGCUCACCCUGGAGGUGCAAAGCACAGGUCAGCCUGGCCGGGGAGGAAAGAGACACUGGAGAGGAAGCUCAGGGCCUUAGGGGAGGCCAGGCACAAACACUGUCUGCACCGGGGCAUCCAGAGUUUGUGAGUGUGGGCGAGCACCCCUGCGUGUGUGCACAUGUAUGCUUGCAUGCACAUGUGUGUGCACCCCUGUGUGUAUACAUGUGCUUUUCUAUGCAUAUGUGUCCACCCCUGCGUGUGUACACGUGUGCUUGUGUGUGCAUAUGUGCGCAUGCGUGCACGUGUGCUUAUAUGUGCGUGCACUUGUGUGCAUGCGUGUGUGUGUGCUGAGACAGGAAAGAGGAGUGAAAGCAUUGGUGAAGGAACAAGGAAGUUUUCUCUUCCCCAGCCUCUCCUGCUCUAAGGAGGGACGGGGUGGGGGGCAGCCAUUAUUGAAGGUGAUAGAAGAAAGAUUUUCUGACUCAGAAGUAACUGCCAGUGUAGCACAAGCAGUGUCCCUUGUGACUGAUUCUACAAUUCUCUGAUCCCCAUGCUUCCUCCUUUAGAGGAAAGAGGAAAAAAGGGACUCUGUGGUGGGUAUCAGGAAGCAAAAGAAAAUAGCCUGGUGGAGGCAGGGGGGGUUGAGCAUGAGUAAGGAGCGCCUGCAGCUUAUGGAAGUGAAGGCAGAGAGGGAAAGGUAGCAAAGACAUCCCGGAGGAUCCACGGGCAGCAAGAGAGGCACGGGGGGGAAGGGGGAGAGCGAGUGGGCCCAGGGAGGACAGCGGUGUGCAGCUGGUGGGCAGACAUGCAGGAGGAGGGGUGAUAAGCUGGGAAAGGAAGAAUCAGAGCGGAGAAACCACUGCUGCAGAAGGCAGGGAGCAAAGAAGCAUGAGAAAAAGAACAGGAGAAAGAACAAAGGCAGAGAAGACCUCAUCAGCUAUUUUGGUGCUAAGUAAUGUGAAAUGCUACAGUAAAUAAAAGUCAAUAGUAAUGUUUGAUUUUACAGUGUUUACAAACCAUAUGUUUUAAACAGCCCACAAACUUCAUCCAGUUGUCUGAUGAUGUGGGAGGACCAGCUCUAGUUAGACAGAGGUACGUGAUUUGAUUCUGAUCGAGGUUUGUGCCUUGAAAGACUUCUCAAGAACACAGUAAUGAAACAAAAUGAUGGCACCAGACUGAGCUGUAUGGCUAUUAGGCUGUAAGCUCCGUGGAGCAGGGGUCACCUCUGUUUUGUAAACUAUUGUACACCCAGCACCUAGCACUGUGCAUGGCAUGCAGAGGCUCAAUAAACAUUUCUCUAAUGAAGGCGUGA